rnacentral:tRNA from 1 species
GCCGGGGUAGCUCAGGGGUAGAGCGACGCUCUCGUAAAGCGUAGGUCGUGGGUUCAAAUCCCAUCCCCGGCU